CUCCCAACUGCUGAGAUACAUUGCAAAAAAUGACUACAGCAGCCAAAAAUAAUAAUGCUGUUUGCAAGCAGCUCUUCCUAUAUCUAAGGAAGAACUAGCCACCAUGUGAGUUUGUGCAGGUUUUGGAAAACUACGCACGGAAACAAUAAAUCCCACCAACCCCAGCCUAAAAUACACGGCAUCGGGACGCGUGGGAAGCUGUGGUCUGUUACAGAAGGAGGUGGCAGUAUCAAGGAAGAUUCAUAUCCAGAAAAAUCUGCAUGCACCUUCCAGCAAAGAAGAUAGCAAAGCAGUUAUCUAUUGUGUAUCGUGUUGGAUUGAAUUGCCGAGUCAGGGAGAUAUAUCUCUCCCUAGACAUGAAACACAACGCGGAAUAUGUUAUCCUUUUACACACAGUAUUUACAGAUGUGCAGGUUUUCCCUUUUAAGAAUGACAAUGAUUCCCAUCUCCUCACACUGCAACUCUACUAUUAGAUCCAGUUCUGUAUGGAUAAUAAAAAUUCAAUAAAAUUUUUAAUUGGUACAUGAA